rnacentral:rRNA from 1 species
GAGACAGCAGCAGCCGCGGUAAUACGAAGGGGGCUAGCGUUGCUCGGAAUGACUGGGCGUAAAGCGCACGUAGGCGGAUCCUUAAGUCAGAGGUGAAAUCCCAAGGCUCAACCUUGGAACUGCCUUUGAUACUGGGGAUCUCGAGUUCGGGAGAGGUGAGUGGAACCGCGAGUGUAGAGGUGAAAUUUGUAGAUAUUCGCAAGAACACCAGUGGCGAAGGCGGCUCACUGGCCCGAUACUGACGCUGAGGUGCGAAAGCGUGGGGAGCAAACAGGAUUAGAUACCCCUGUAGUCCCUGUCUCUUAUAC